AUUGAACGCUGGCGGCAGGCCUAACACAUGCAAGUCGAGCGGUAACAGAACUAGCUUGCUAGUUGCUGACGAGCGGCGGACGGGUGCGUAACACGUAGGAAUCUGCCCGGUAGUGGGGGAUAGCCCGGAGAAAUCCGGAUUAAUACCGCAUACGCACUCUCUUUUAUAAGAGGGUGGAAAGAUGGCCUCUUCAAGAAAGCUGUCGCUAUCGGAUGAGCCUGCGUCGGAUUAGCUAGUUGGUAGGGUAAAGGCCUACCAAGGCAACGAUCCGUAGCUGGUCUGAGAGGAUGAUCAGCCACACUGGGACUGAGACACGGCCCAGACUCCUACGGGAGGCAGCAGUGGGGAAUAUUGCACAAUGGGCGCAAGCCUGAUGCAGCCAUGCCGCGUGUGUG
rnacentral:rRNA from 1 species